rnacentral:sRNA from 1 species
AUUCCCUCAGAGCCGAAGUUAAGGGAGAUAUAAUAAUACAGGCACAGGAGGACCAGCAGCAGCCAGAGAGGAGAAGUGACAGGGACCGAGGCAAAUCCAGUCUCUCCCCGGGUUUCAAGAAUUUGAGAAACACACCUCUUAAAGAUGAAAUCAGCUGUGCGAGAGUGUGAGGCCCAGGAAACCUGGGAGUCUGCUGUAUAAAUACAGCAAGUGGCUCACACUCAUCCACCCAAGUGAGCACUUUUGCAGGCCCAGCAUCUUUUAAUGGCGACAAAACAAGAAUAAAGAAUGAGUGCCCGUGCGCAGCGGAGAUGCCACCUUCCCCAAAGCUAUGGACAACGUGACGGUCCGGCAGGGGGAGAGCGCCACCCUCAGUUGAAACUCAGCUGUUCCCUGGAUUAUUUCCACUCCUAGAAUCCUCAAAAGUGGCUGUUUUUCUCCCACACCUUGCUUACCCUGAGGCCUGAAAGUUGGAUAAACGUCCUCCUUGCUGCUCAUUAUGGCUGCUGGACAUUUCUUUUUCACCUUUCUCGACAUGUCCAGUUAGGGUGCAGCA